UGUCUCUCCCAGUUGUUCAAUUCUGUGGGUUGAUCUUGGUUUUUCAAUUCUCAGUCGUCUCUUCUUCACUCUGCCUACACCUUUCUCUUUCGUUCUUCAGUUUUCCCCUUUCGAUUCGCUCUCUCUUUCUCUAACUACCAUAUAAACAAUACUGUAAACCUCAAUUUUUGGGUUUCCGCAAUCAAUAUUAAUUCGUUUUUGUAAAUUGUUUUCCUGAUUAAUCGAAGAUGGCGACCGGUCAUGUGACUAAGCGAGCUAAGUAUAAGACCACAAUCAAGGAUCCUGGAACUCCCGGUACUCUUAGAAUGAAUUUAGAGAAAAUUUUAUUUGUACCUCAUAACCCUAAAUCAGCCAUAAAGCUUGAUGUCGAAUUUCGAUACAUCAAAGGUCAAAAGCAUACAAAGGAGGGAUCGAAUAAGCCACCAUGGCUUAACCUUACUAACAAUCAGAAUGGGAGUUUCAUCUUCGAAUUUGAAAAUUAUUCAGAUCUCCAAGGUUGUCGAGAUUUUGUGGGAAAAGUUCUUGCAAAGAGUGGAGAAGUUUCUGAAAAAUCUUCUGUUGCAUAUCCCGAUGAACAACUCAGUGCCGCUGAAAUGGAGAUACGGAUUAAGUUAUUACAGGAAGAUAGUGAACUGCAGAAACUUCACAAGCAAUUUGUUCUUAGUGGCGUCCUCACAGAAGCUGAGUUUUGGGCAACACGGAAGAAAUUACAGGAUAGAGAGGCCAGUAAAAAGAAAAAACAGCGGCUGGGUUUUAAAAGUGCAAUGAUUUCUGACAUCAAGCCAUCAGCUGAUGGUCGGACAAACAAAGUCACAUUUAAUUUGACCCCAGAGAUCAUUCUUCAAAUUUUUGCCGAGAAGCCAGCUGUUCAUCGUGCAUUCUUAAGUUAUGUUCCUAACAAGAUGUCAGAGAGGAAUUUCUGGACCAAAUAUUUUAGAGCAGAAUACCUACAUAGUACGAAAAACAGUAUUGCUGCUGCGGCCGAGGCUGCUGAAGAUGAGGAACUUGCUGUUUUUCUGAAGCAGGAUGACAUAUUGGCAAGUGAAGCGCGGAGGAAGAUCCGUCGGGUUGACCCAACUUUGGACAUGGAGGCUGAUGAGGGUGAUGAUUAUACACAUCUUCCUGAUCAUGGACUCUUUCGCGAUGGUAAUAAGGGAAUGGAAGAGUCACAAAAUGAGCUAUACAAAAGAACUCUAUCCCAGGAUAUUAACCGGCAUGCUGCAGUUGUUCUUGAGGGAAGAGCUGUAGACCUGGAGUUGGAAGACACAAAGGCUGUAGCAGAAGCACUUGCUCAGUCAAAACGGGAAUCAUCGAAUAAGGGAGAAUCUGAUGGGGAUACAACUCGUGAGAGGUUGGAUAGGUUAUCAAGGAUGACUGAAAUAGAAGAUCUCCAGGGAUCAAAUACUCUUCCAUUAGCACCACUUUGCAUUAAGGAUCCUCGGGAUUAUUUUGACUCUCAACAAGCCAAUGCACUUGGAACUUCUGGAGAUGAACUUAGUGGAACUGAACAAAUAAAAUGCAGUUUGAGCAUCCCGGAGGUGUAUGGUUCUUUAAGGGCUUCUAUAUCAUCGAUCAAAGCUAUGGGGUUGAAUGAGCCUAUUGUCAAACCCGAAGUUGCUCAUCAGGUUUUUGAUGCUUUGACUUAUAGUAUCUCCAAUACUAAACAUAAUAUUGGGAAAAAUUCUCAAGAGAGUGUUCUGGACAGGCUACCAAGGAAAACUAAGGAGGACCUAUUGCAUCAUUGGACUUCAAUCCUUGAACUACUCAAACAUUUUUGGGCAUCAUAUCCUAUCACCACCUCUUACCUAUAUGCGAAGGUUAACAGAUUGAAGGAUGCCAUGUCAAAUAUCUAUCCACAAUUAGAGAUGAUAACAGUAUAGUCCCUGUAGUUCUAAAUUAAUGCUAUUAUUUUCCUAACUAGCAUUUUUUAAGCUCAGUUCUAUUCAAUUCUACCUUUUAUGAAGCGAUUUUGUCUAAUUUCCCUCCCUUACCCUUCACUUCCCUUCCUGGCUUGAGUGAUGCUGAAGCAUAAUUUUUUUUUGGAUGAUUAGUCGAGGAUGCUUUGGCUGUAUCUUUAUUUAUUUAUUUGUUUAUUUCCGUCAAUUGAUAAAAUUAGCUUUUCCAAUUUAGCUAUAUCAUUUAUAAGCCUGCCAUAAAAUUCCAGGAGCUUAAGGGUUCUGUCCCAUCGGAGCUUCGGAAUCAGGUUUCCCUCCUUGUUCGUCCAAUGCAUCAGGCUCUAGACGCCGCUAUUCAACAUUAUGAAGCUAGUAUGCAGAAGAGAUCCACACAGAGUGGAGAGAAACCGAAUGGAUA